rnacentral:rRNA from 1 species
UCGGAUAGAGAGACCGGCGCACGGGAGCGUAACGCGUAUGCAAUCUACCUUUUACAGAGGGAUAGCCCAGAGAAAUUUGGAUUAAUACCUCAUAGUAUAUAGACUCGGCAUCAAGAUUAUAUUAAAGUCACAACGGUAAAAGAUGAGCAUGCGUCCCAUUAGCUAGUUGGUAAGGUAACGGCUUACCAAGGCUACGAUGGGUAGGGGUCCUGAGAGGGAGAUCCCCCACACUGGUACUGAGACACGGACCAGACUCCUACGGGAGGCAGCAGUGAGGAAUAUUGGACAAUGGGCGCAAGCCUGAUCCAGCCAUGCCGCGUGCAGGAUGACGGUCCUAUGGAUUGUAAACUGCUUUUAUACGAGAAGAAACACUGCUACGUGUAGCAGCUUGACGGUAUCGUAAGAAUAAGGAUCGGCUAACUCCGUGCCAGCAGCCGCGGUAAUACGGAGGAUCCAAGCGUUAUCCGGAAUCAUUGGGUUUAAAGGGUCCGUAUGCGGUUUAAUAAGUCAGUGGUGAAAGCCCAUCGCUCAACGGUGGAACGGCCAUUGAUACUGUUAGACUUGAAUUA